rnacentral:rRNA from 1 species
GCGCGAAAGCACUUCGGUGUGAGUAGAGCGGCGGACGGGUGAGUAACGCGUAGGAAUCUACCUAGUAGUGGGGGACAACUCGAGGAAACUCGAGCUAAUACCGCAUAAGCCCUACGGGGGAAAGCGGGGGACCUUCGGGCCUCGUGCUAUUAGAUGAGCCUGCGUUGGAUUAGCUAGUUGGUGGGGUAAAGGCCUACCAAGGCGACGAUCCAUAGCUGGUCUGAGAGGAUGAUCAGCCACACCGGGACUGAGACACGGCCCGGACUCCUACGGGAGGCAGCAGUGGGGAAUAUUGCGCAAUGGGCGAAAGCCUGACGCAGCCAUGCCGCGUGUGUGAAGAAGGCCUUCGGGUUGUAAAGCACUUUCAAUUGGGAGGAAAGGUUCACGGCUAAUAACCGUGAGCUGUGACGUUACCUUAGAAGAAGCACCGG